GCGAAUCGAGACUACGGUAUUUCUCUGGCAAUUCUAUUGACUUGACAUUGUCAGCAGUGCAAAUGAAAAAUAAUCACGAUGUAGCAUUCGCUGGUCUCUGCUCGGACACUGUAGCAGUCUGGCAGAUGUCUGUAUCUGAGUCUCCCGUCAAGUUAGUCGACCUGCUAGACGGUGCUGAUUUUAGACCCCAUAAGCUGAUUUACACGCGUAUUCAGAUGUAGAUGUAGAUCACGACAGAACUAUACUAACUCAUUCAUUCAGCCACAGUUGUUUUCCUUCAGAGAAACAGGUGGGCUUGAAAUGACUCGUUUUUCACGUCGUUACUCUCAUAGAUCGAGAGCCAAGAGGACCUUCAAAAGCCAUGAUAGUUAAACAGAAGAAACAUGAUUGUGUUUUACACAGAGCCCCUCCCUGCAGGGGAGGCUGCAAUGCACGCGCAUGAUAGCAACGAUGGUAGCUGAAGAGGUCGACAACAUGAAGCACACACUGGUCUCUGUGAACUGGUCCUAUAAGGCAGGUCAGAGAUGAAUGAAGCCACCAGAGAGACAGACACUCUGCAGGGAUCUGGUGACCUUUAGAAAGGAUGAAUUCUACUGCCUCGCUCAGUGAUUGCAUCUCUACUGAAAGCUGCGGUCGGCAUGGAGAAAAAGAUUCGGCAAAGGUUGCACAUGAUUUUGCUACAUUUUUUACUUCAGAGAUGUUUUCAGUGAAGCUGUGCGUUGCAAUUUCCAGCUGCUGAAAAUAAUUGUCAUUUAUUGCCAAUUACUCUAAUGAGUUCCAAAAUACCCCCAAGGACAGUGCCCAGCUUGACAAAACAGAGAUGUGAGGGAGCAGAGAGGACAGAGGGGGAGGAAGAGCAUUGUUCCUGGCUGCACCCAUUAGAAACAUUUCCAAACGCCUCUCCCCAGCAGCAACAGUGUUCCCUGCCUGCUGAGACUUUGGCCAGCGUGUGUGUGUUGGGGGGAUGAAGUUCUGUUUGACAGAUGUCAACUGCAGGCCUGGCCGACAGCAAUCUGUGAGAAGAAUGUCAUUAAUACUUCAUCGUGCUUUAGCUAAACCUGGCAGGCAGAUGUACACAGAUUGAGCCCUGGGUGACUCUCCUUUAAAGCCUGUUGUUAUUUUUAGAGAGGAAGGUGCAACAGAAGGACACAAAAUUGUAAUGUUACAUUUUAAAAGAUUUAAACAGCAUGCUAUCAUAAAGUAUGUGAAGGAAAAAUAGUAAAAAUAUGCUACUCAGAAAGGGUGUUAUGAUGUUAAAAUACUAUCACUAUGUCUCUCCAGAGUGUCUCUCAUUUGCUGUCUUUCAUGAAAACCACUGUCGAUGAUCCAAACUGGAUGCUAUCAGACUGAAGUGGUGGCUCACAGGGGAUGGGCUCAUGCUAUAUAUGUGUCAUUGCUCCAAAUGACUAGGCUUUUCUUUUGUGUAUAUGUUCUUGGAGCCUAUUUUGUUAGUGAUCUGAUAAGGUCCACAUUGGAAAAAAUUAUGAUUUACUUGCAAUUUUUUUUGUCUGUAUCUUGUAUCUCAAAAUGAAAAUCUCAAAACUGGAAAAUAUAUGUAUUAUUACCA